GUUAUAUGGUCAAGUGAAGAAGCGCAUACGGUGGAUGCCUUGGCAGUCAGAGGCGAUGAAAGACGUGGUAGCCUGCGAAAAGCUUCGGGGAGUCGGCAAACAGACUGUGAUCCGGAGAUGUCUGAAUGGGGGAACCCAGCCAUCAUAAGAUGGUUAUCUUGUACUGAAUACAUAGGUGCAAGAGGCGAACCAGGGGAACUGAAACAUCUAAGUACCCUGAGGAAAAGAAAUCAACCGAGAUUCCCUUAGUAGUGGCGAGCGAACGGGGACCAGCCCUUAAGUUGUAUUGAGAUUAGCGGAACGUUCUGGAAAGGACGGCCAUAGUGGGUGAUAGCCCUGUACGCGAAAAUCGCUUUGCAAUGAAAUCGAGUAGGACGGGGCACGAGAAACCUUGUCUGAAUAUGGGGGGACCAUCCUCCAAGGCUAAAUACUACUGACUGACCGAUAGUGAACCAGUACCGUGAGGGAAAGGCGAAAAGAACCGCGGAGAGCGGAGUGAAAUAGAUCCUGAAACCGUAUGCGUACAAGCAGUGGGAGCCCACUUUGUUGGGUGACUGCGUACCUUUUGUAUAAUGGGUCAGCGACUUAUUUUCAGUGGCGAGCUUAACCGAAUAGGGGAGGCGUAGCGAAAGCGAGUCUUAAUAGGGCGUCUAGUCGCUGGGAAUAGACCCGAAACCGGGCGAUCUAUCCAUGGGCAGGUUGAAGGUUGGGUAACACUAACUGGAGGACCGAACCGACUACCGUUGAAAAGUUAGCGGAUGACCUGUGGAUCGGAGUGAAAGGCUAAUCAAGCUCGGAGAUAGCUGGUUCUCCUCGAAAGCUAUUUAGGUAGCGCCUCAUGUAUCACUGUAGGGGGUAGAGCACUGUUUCGGCUAGGGGGUCAUCCCGACUUACCAAACCGAUGCAAACUCCGAAUACCUACAAGUGCCGAGCAUGGGAGACACACGGCGGGUGCUAACGUCCGUCGUGAAAAGGGAAACAACCCAGACCGUCAGCUAAGGUCCCAAAGUCAUGGUUAAGUGGGAAACGAUGUGGGAAGGCUUAGACAGCUAGGAGGUUGGCUUAGAAGCAGCCACCCUUUAAAGAAAGCGUAAUAGCUCACUAGUCGAGUCGGCCUGCGCGGAAGAUGUAACGGGGCUCAAACCAUGCACCGAAGCUACGGGUAUCAUCUUUUGAUGAUGCGGUAGAGGAGCGUUCUGUAAGCCUGUGAAGGUGAGUUGAGAAGCUUGCUGGAGGUAUCAGAAGUGCGAAUGCUGACAUGAGUAACGACAAUGGGUGUGAAAAACACCCACGCCGAAAGACCAAGGUUUCCUGCGCAACGUUAAUCGACGCAGGGUUAGUCGGUCCCUAAGGCGAGGCUGAAAAGCGUAGUCGAUGGAAAACAGGUUAAUAUUCCUGUACUUCUGGUUAUUGCGAUGGAGGGACGGAGAAGGCUAGGCCAGCCUGGCGUUGGUAGUCCAGGUUUAAGGUGGUAGGCUGAGAUCUUAGGUAAAUCCGGGAUCUUAAGGCCGAGAGCUGAUGACGAGUGUUCUUUUAGAACACGAAGUGGUUGAUGCCAUGCUUCCAAGAAAAGCUUCUAAGCUUCAGGUAACCAGGAACCGUACCCCAAACCGACACAGGUGGUUGGGUAGAGAAUACCAAGGCGCUUGAGAGAACUCGGGUGAAGGAACUAGGCAAAAUGGCACCGUAACUUCGGGAGAAGGUGCGCCGGUGGAGGUGAAGCAUUUACUGCGUAAGCCCCUGCCGGUCGAAGAUACCAGGCCGCUGCGACUGUUUAUUAAAAACACAGCACUCUGCAAACACGAAAGUGGACGUAUAGGGUGUGACGCCUGCCCGGUGCCGGAAGGUUAAUUGAUGGGGUUAGCGCAAGCGAAGCUCUUGAUCGAAGCCCCGGUAAACGGCGGCCGUAACUAUAACGGUCCUAAGGUAGCGAAAUUCCUUGUCGGGUAAGUUCCGACCUGCACGAAUGGCGUAACGAUGGCGGCGCUGUCUCCACCCGAGACUCAGUGAAAUUGAAAUCGCUGUGAAGAUGCAGUGUAUCCGCGGCUAGACGGAAAGACCCCGUGAACCUUUACUAUAGCUUUGCACUGGACUUUGAAUUUGCUUGUGUAGGAUAGGUGGGAGGCUUUGAAGCGUGGACGCCAGUCUGCGUGGAGCCAACCUUGAAAUACCACCCUGGCAACUUUGAGGUUCUAACUCAGGUCCGUUAUCCGGAUCGAGGACAGUGUAUGGUGGGUAGUUUGACUGGGGCGGUCUCCUCCUAAAGAGUAACGGAGGAGUACGAAGGUGCGCUCAGACCGGUCGGAAAUCGGUCGUAGAGUAUAAAGGCAAAAGCGCGCUUGACUGCGAGACAGACACGUCGAGCAGGUACGAAAGUAGGUCUUAGUGAUCCGGUGGUUCUGUAUGGAAGGGCCAUCGCUCAACGGAUAAAAGGUACUCCGGGGAUAACAGGCUGAUACCGCCCAAGAGUUCAUAUCGACGGCGGUGUUUGGCACCUCGAUGUCGGCUCAUCACAUCCUGGGGCUGAAGCCGGUCCCAAGGGUAUGGCUGUUCGCCAUUUAAAGUGGUACGCGAGCUGGGUUUAGAACGUCGUGAGACAGUUCGGUCCCUAUCUGCCGUGGACGUUUGAGAUUUGAGAGGGGCUGCUCCUAGUACGAGAGGACCGGAGUGGACGAACCUCUGGUGUUCCGGUUGUCACGCCAGUGGCAUUGCCGGGUAGCUAUGUUCGGAAAAGAUAACCGCUGAAAGCAUCUAAGCGGGAAACUUGCCUCAAGAUGAGAUCUCACUGGAACCUUGAGUUCCCUAAAGGGCCGUCGAAGACUACGACGUUGAUAGGUUGGGUGUGUAAGCGCUGUGAGGCGUUGAGCUAACCAAUACUAAUUGCCCGUGAGGCUUGACCAUAUAACACCCAAGCAAUU
rnacentral:rRNA from 1 species